rnacentral:rRNA from 1 species
UCGAGGAUAUUUAGCAAUGGGGGAAACCCUGACUAUGUGACGCCGCGUGGAGGAUGAAGGUCUUCGGAUUGUAAACUCCUGUCAUGAGGGAUAAAUGGCCAGGGCACGAAUAGUGCCUUGGAAUGAUAGUACCUCAGGAGGAAGAGACGGCUAACUCUGUGCCAGCAGCCGCGGUAAUACAGAGGUCUCGAGCGUUGUUCGGAUUUACUGGGCGUAAAGGGAGCGUAGGCGGUUCGGUGUGUUGAAUGUGAAAUCCCACAACUCAACUGUGGAAUGGCAUUCAAAACUACCGGGCUAGAGUACUGGAGAGGAGAGCGGAAUUCUUGGUGUAGCGGUAAAAUGCAUAGAUAUCAAGAAGAACACCAGUUGCGAAGGCGGUUGCCUGGUCUGUAACUGACGCUCAAGCACGAAAGCGUGGGGAUCAAACA